GUGCCAGCCGCCGCGGUAAUACGUAGGGGGCAAGCGUUGUCCGGAAUCACUGGGCGUAAAGCGUGCGUAGGCGGUUUUUCAAGUCUGGGGUGAAAGUCCAUGGCUCAACCAUGGGAAUGCCUUGGAAACUGGGAGACUUGAGUACUGGAGAGGCAAGGGGAAUUCCACGUGUAGCGGUGAAAUGCGUAGAUAUGUGGAGGAAUACCAGUGGCGAAGGCGCCUUGCUGGACAGUUACUGACGCUGAGGCACGAAAGCGUGGGGAGCAAACAGGAUUAGAAACCCGGGUAGUCC
rnacentral:rRNA from 1 species